rnacentral:rRNA from 1 species
CUACGUGCCAGCAGCCGCGGUAAUACGGAGGAUUCGAGCGUUAUCCGGAUUUACUGGGUUUAAAGGGUGCGCAGGCGGGCUCUUAAGUCAGCGGUGAAAUGUCUGGGCUUACCCUAGGAAUUGCCGUCGAUACUGGGAGUCUUGGAUAAGCAUAAGGACGGCGGAAUGCGUAGUGUAGCGGUGAAAUGCUUAGAUAUUACGUAGAAGACCAAUUGCGAAGGCAGCUGUCUGGGUCUUUAUCGACGCUCAAGCACGAAAGCGUGGGGAGCAAACAGGAUUAGAUACCCUGGUAGUCCACGCCGUAAACGAUGAUCACUCGCUCUUGGCGAUAUGCUGUCAGGGGCCAAGCGAAAGCGUUAAGUGAUCCACCUGGGGAGUACGGCCGCAAGGCUGAAACUCAAAGGAAUUGACGGGGGCCCGCACAAGCGGAGGAACAUGUGGUUUAAUUCGAUGAUACGCGAGGAACCUUACCUGGGCUAGA